rnacentral:rRNA from 1 species
AACGAACGCUGGCGGCAGGCUUAACACAUGCAAGUCGAACGGGUGCAGCAAUGCAUCAGUGGCAGACGGGUGAGUAACACGUGGGAACCUUCCUAGGGGUACGGAACAACUCAGGGAAACUUGAUCUAAUACCGUAUACGUCCGUGAGGAGAAAGAUUUAUCGCCCUUAGACGGGCCCGCGUCGGAUUAGCGAGUUGGUGGGGUAACGGCCUACCAAGGCGACGAUCCGUAGCUGGUCUUAGAGGAUGCUCAGCCAAACUGGGACUGAAACACGGCCCAGACUCCUACGGGGGGCGGCAGUGGGGAGUCUUGGACAAUGGGCGCAAGCCUGAUCCGGCCAUGCCGCGUGAGUUAAGAAGGUCUUCGGAUUGUAAAGCUCGUUUGCCAGGGACGAUAAUGACGGUACCUGGAGAAUAAGCCCCGGCAAACUUCGUGCCAGCCGCCGCCGUCCCAC